rnacentral:rRNA from 1 species
CGGAGGGUGCAAGCGUUAUCCGGAUUUACUGGGUUUAAAGGGUGCGUAGGUGGGUAGGUAAGUCAGUGGUGAAAUCUUCAAGCUUAACUUGGAAACUGCCAUUGAUACUAUUUAUCUUGAAUACUUUGGAGGUAAGCGGAAUAUGUCAUGUAGCGGUGAAAUGCUUAGAUAUGACAUAGAACACCAAUUGCGAAGGCAGCUUACUACACAGUUAUUGACACUGAGGCACGAAAGCGUGGGGAUCAAACAGGAUUAGAUACCCUGGUAGUCCACGCCCUAAACGAUGGAUACUCGACAUUAGCGAUACACAGUUAGUGUCUGAGCGAAAGCAUUAAGUAUCCCACCUGGGAAGUACGAUCGCAAGAUUG